AGCCCUGUGUUAUUAUAAAGGGUUACGUCUGCCCAGUGACCAAGGUUAAACCGCCGCGGAAUACGUGCUAAGGUAGCGCAAUCAUUUGUCUUUUUAUUGGAGACCUGUAUGAAAGGCCUUACGACAGUCAUUCUGUCUCAUCUUAAACUAUCAAACUUAGUAAGUAAGUGAAAAACCUUGCAUACCAUCGGAGGACGAGAAGACCCUAUAGAGUUUUAGUAAAAUUAGCAUAUUAGUAUGAAAAGAAAAUACAACUAAUAAGAUAAUUUACUUUAAUUGGGGCAAUCUAGGGUGAUAAAAAACCCUAAUAUUUAACUUCACCACAGUGAGUGAGAAGAUCCUUAAAGAGAGUGGGGACAAACUACCUUAGGGAUAACAGCGUUAUUCCGCCAGAGAGAUCUGAUCGAAGGCGGAGUUUGCGACCUCGAUGUUGGACUAAGGUGACCUGUAGGUGCAGAAGUCUACAAAGGUGCCUGUUCGGCCCUUAAAACCUUACAUG
rnacentral:rRNA from 1 species